UAUGAGGUGCUUUGAAUGG
rnacentral:siRNA from 1 species